rnacentral:rRNA from 1 species
UGGGGAAUCUUGGACAAUGGGCGGAAGCCUGAUCCAGCCAUACCGCGUGGGUGGUAAGGCCUUCGGGUUGUAAAGCCCUUUCAGCGGGGAAGAUGAUGACAUUACCCGCAGAAGAAGCGCCGGCUAACUCCGUGCCAGCAGCCGCGGUAAGACGGAGGGCGCUAGCGUUGUUCGGAAUCACUGGGCGUAAAGGGCGCGUAGGCGGCUGCUUAAGUCGAGGGUGAAAGCCCCGGGCUCAACCCCGGAACGGCCUUCGAGACUGGGCAGCUCGAGACCGGAAGAGGAGGGUGGAAUACCCAGUGUAGAGGUGAAAUUCGUAGAUAUUGGGUGGAACACCAGUGGCGAAAGCGGCUCUCUGGUCCGGAUCUGACGCUGAGGCGCGAAAGCGUGGGGAGCAAACAGGAUUAGAUACCCCUGUAGUCC